GUGUGCCUACGGGGGGCAGCAGUGGGGAAUAUUGCACAAUGGGGGAAACCCUGAUGCAGCAACGCCGCGUGAGGGAAGAAGUAUUUCGGUAUGUAAAGCUCUAUCAGCAGGGAAGAAGAAAGACGGUACCUGACUAAGAAGCCCCGGCUAACUACGGGCCAGCAGCCGCGGAAAUACGUAGGGGGCAAGCGUUAUCCGGAUUUACGGGGUGUAAAGGGAGGGUAGAGGGCUGUGCAGGUCUGAAGUGAAAGCCCGUGGCUCAACCGCGGAACUGCUUUGGAAACUGUAUAUCUUGGGUACUGGAG
rnacentral:rRNA from 1 species